CCACUCAGUGGUGAUGACGUUAUCACUUACGUUCUUGCUGGCCUUGGCCAAGAGUAUGAUUCCUUGGCUUCAACAGUUACCUCUUGGUCUGAUGUUGUCACCUUGGAGGAGAUGUAUUCAUUGCUCCUUAUCAGUGAGU